ensembl:lncRNA
GCAUGCAUAGCCGUAGCAGUGGGGUUGGGACACGACCUCUGAAGACGGGAUCUGAGGUUUCUGGAGUCGGGGACACCUGUGUCUACGGACCAUCACACAGCUGGCCACGCCCCCUGAAGCGCGUUCAGAGAUGACCAGUCUCCCUGCCGAGCCGUGGCCGCUGGGUCGCCGCACGCCCAGCAGAGCGACCCCAGGAAGUGGUCCUCACCUCACUCUUCGCCUGCUUGGGACAAACGCCCGCCCCCCGCCCGGAACGCACCUUCCCCACCGCUUGUCACGUGUGCCUGUGCCUUCGAAGCCUGGCCCCGGGCUCGGGGAAGCCUCUGCCGCCACCAUCAGCGUCCAGUCUGGCUCACGACUGUCCACCUCACGGAGAGGAGACCCACCACCAGGAAGUGGGAUAUCCGCUGGGGGGCGGUACCACGCGGCCGCUGAGGAAACCGAGUGGGUUUAGGAGCCACAGCCCACGUGAUGUUGUGUUGGUUUCAAGCUCCCAGCCGGGGGCAGAGAUUCCACCCCGUGGGGCUCAGGUGCCUGGGAACCUCUCCCCACCAGCCCUGCCUCCUCGCCGUGUCUGCGGUCCCUCGCGGAACCGCCCCCGCCCCUCCCAGCCCCGGGGGUGUGCAUCUGGGGAGGGGGCAGCACGCAUCCUGUGCAGGUGCCCACGUCGGGGUCCACAGGCGUCCUUGCCACUCCGGCGGAGGCGGUGCUCCCUGCAGCUCGGCAUCUGCCGCGAAGGUUGCAUUUGCUAUUAACGCAAGGACGUUACCGCCCUUCGGACCCCGGGCAAGGCUCGCCACCGUGAUCGUCCGGGAGGGCACUCGUUUCCGUCUUACGCGGGAAGGCUGCCUCUUAUUUCUGGUCCAGCAGUCACGCCCGACGGCAGCCCUCGCCAGCCCCUGCACGACCCCGCCUCCCACACCCUUGGAGGAGCCCCGGCCCGUGGGGGGAGGGGCCUGCAGAGCUCGGGCUCCACCUUCCGAGCGGCUGCUCAGCGACCGGCUGCCCACUUCACCCGAUUCUUCUGACCGUGUAGCUCUCUUCAGGGUUUGCGCUGACUUCCUCCAAGUUCGAGCGACGGUUGCGCGGAUCAAGCGCCAGGGGGCACGGCCGGGCUGCACGUUGGCGCCAUCGUCUGGACCCGUCCGAUACCCGUCUCGGUAUCAGAGACUGACCCUGGGCCCUGCCGUGACACCACCCCACAAAGAUACCAACCGGCCGCUCGGCGGCCCUUGUCCUGUGGCACCGUUUCCGGGCUGGGAAGGCCGGCUCUCCACCUGGGGCCUGGCGUGCGCUCCGGGCGCGGGCUUGCUCUUCCUGCUUUUCCAGCACCGCACACGGAUUCCCGAACGACGGGCCCCUAUAGAUGCGGUGCAGACACGGCGUUUUGUGAAUGCGGAGCCGCUCCUCUGCCCGUGGUCUCCUCCCAGAGCCAGCGACAGGGCACGAGGCCCCGCGACACCUAGGGCGCAGGCUGGGGAAACGGCUUCUGCACGAAGCCACCUCAGCGAACGGAGCAAACCAACAAAAGCCGCCCGCCCGCACACGGAUGUCACAAGCAGGCUCGUCGUCGGUCGUUACCUGGACUGA